GGGCGAUUAGCUCAGCGGGAGAGCACUGCCCUCACACGGCAGGGGUCGUUGGUUCAAUCCCAACAUCGCCUACCA
rnacentral:tRNA from 1 species